GUUUCAAUUCCUCUUAGGUAAGAUGCAAAC
rnacentral:other from 1 species